ACAGAUAGCUCAAGGCUGCUUUUCUUCUCGGUUGUUAGGGAUCGUCAGAGUGUGGGAAAUGUGAGGUUUUCUGCGCAUGCACCAACUCCCUUUUGCAGCAGAGCUGGCAUUCACUAACUUCCUCUGAUGUAUUUGGUAUCUAAUAGAAAUAUCUAAAUGCUGUGGGCUAUCUUUCUGAGUCUAGCAGGAAACAAGCCCCUUUCAGUGUGGAAGCCAGAGGUAGUUGGAUGCAGCUGAGCCCUGGCACAGGUGCUGGGGGAACUGAGAAUGCAAACCACAGGCAGUGAGGCAACUUGGAGAUGAAGCAACCAGAGGGAAACCACUGCCAUCCCUAAGUGCAGGGACAAAGGGAGGAGUGAGGGUGACUGCAGGGGCAACUGGCUCUGCCAGAAGCUGGAACUACAGCGGUCCAUCUGGCGAGCUUGCCGGAGGGCACAGUUGGUGCCACAAACGUCCUUAGCUCCCUUGCCUGUAGGACUCAUUCUGCAGUCCAUAGAGCAGAGGAGUGAGGAAUGGACCUGGGGACAAGCUGGCCCAGGACCAGAACUCAACAAGAGAAGUAACUAAGACAGAGGUGGCUGCUGCUGCUGCUGCUGCUGCUGCUGUGCUGUGAAAUACACUUUGAGAAACAAGACCCUUCUUGUGAAGAGAAGCCUACCAAGCUCCAAAGAGAUCUUUAGGUGAUAAACUUUUUAAAACUUUCCUCCAAGUCUUUAGCAACAGUUCAGUACAUGUUGAUUGAAAUAAUCAUUUGUUAGUUUAGUAUUUACACAUGUGUGUUAUGUUUCCAUGUGUUUGAACUUUUUUUUUGCGGUACUGGGCAUUGGAUUCAGGGUCUUUGCACUGAGCUGUAUCACCAGGCCUUGUUUUAUUUUUUCUUUUGAGACUGGAUCUUGCUAAAUUGCUUAGUUGCUCAGGCUGGGUUGAGGUUGUGAUCCUCGUGCCUCAGCCUCCCAGGGUGGGUGCUGGGAUUACAGGCUUGUGCCACCACAUCUAGCUGUGUUUGAACUCUUUAGAGUUGAAACUGUCUCCAGCAGACAUGUGGGUUCAUUUGAAUUACCUGACCAUAAUACGCAAUGCUGACUGCGAUCUCAUAGCCAGAGUGUAAGGAGUGGAGCUAAUAUGCAGUGCUGACUGGUAAGGUAACCAGCAUAUUAGAUGGUAUUUUGAAGUUUGAGUAAACAACAGUGUAAUUCUGUGAAGCUAUCAUCUAC
rnacentral:lncRNA from 1 species